rnacentral:ncRNA from 12 species
AACGAUAACGGCGAUGGGGUUCGCCAGUCAAACCACUCGCGGCGGCGAGUUGAUGACCCCUACUUCGAG